UACCAGACUCCUACGGGAGGCAGCAGUGGGGAAUAUUGCACAAUGGGGGAAACCCUGAUGCACCGACGCCGCGUGAGCGAUGAAGUAUUUCGGUAUGUAAAGCUCUAUCAGCAGGGAAGAAGAUGACGGUACCUGACUAAGAAGCCCCGGCUAACUACGUGCCAGCAGCCGCGGUAAUACGUAGGGGGCAAGCGUUAUCCGGAUUUACUGGGUGUAAAGGGAGCGUAGACGGCGAUGCAAGCCAGAUGUGAAAGCCCGGGGCUCAACCCCGGGACUGCAUUUGGAACUGUGUGGCUGGAGUGUCGGAGAGGCAGGCGGAAUUCCUAGUGUAGCGGUGAAAUGCGUAGAUAUUAGGAGGAACACCAGUGGCGAAGGCGGCCUGCUGGACGAUGACUGACGUUGAGGCUCGAAAGCGUGGGGAGCAAACAGGAUUAGAUACCCGUGUA
rnacentral:rRNA from 1 species